rnacentral:tRNA from 1 species
UUCCUGGUGGUCCAGUGGUUAAGACUCUGCGCUCCCAAUGCAGGGCGCUGGGGUUCGAUCCCUGGUCAGGGAA